rnacentral:rRNA from 1 species
AGAGUUUGAUCCUGGCUCAGGAUGAACGCUGGCGGCGUGCCUAACACAUGCAAGUCGAACGAACAUUAAAGAAGAAGCUUCGGUGGAUUUUUUAAUUGUUAGUGGCAAACGGGUGAGUAACACAUAGGUAACCUGCCCUUAAGACUGGGAUAACCUUUCGAAAGGAAGGCUAAUACUAGAUAAGCUUUUUUUAACAUAAGUUAAAGAAAGGAAAUGAUUUAUCGCUUAAGGAGGGGCUUAUGUCUGAUUAGUUUGUUGGUAGGGUAACGGCCUACCAAGACGAUGAUCAGUAGCUGGUCUGAGAGGAUGGUCAGCCACACUGGGACUGAGAUACGGCCCAGACUCCUACGGGAGGCAGCAGUGGGGAAUAUUGCGCAAUGGGGGAAACCCUGACGCAGCGACGCCGUGUGAGUGAAGAAGUCUUUAGGGAUGUAAAUCUCUGUCACGAGGAACGAUAAUGACGGUACCUCGAGAGGAAGCCCUGGCUAAUUACGUGCCAGCAGCCGCGGUAAUACGUAAGGGGCGAGCGUUAUCCGGAUUUAUUGGGCAUAAAGAGCGUGUAGGUGGUGAUUUAAGUCAAAUGUUGAAGCCCUCAGCUCAACUGAGGUACGCAUUUGAAACUGAAUUGCUAGAGAUUAGUAGAGGGAAGCGGAACUCAUGGUGUAGCGGUGAAAUGCGUAGAUAUCAUGAGGAACACCAGUUGCGAAGGCGGCUUCCUGGACUGAAUCUGACACUGAGACGCGAAAGCGUGGGGAGCGAACGGGAUUAGAUACCCCGGUAGUCCACGCCGUAAAUGUUGUUCACUAGGUGUUGGAAGUAUCGACCCUUUCAGUGCCACAGAUAAUUCGUUAAGUGAACCGCCUGGGGAGUACGACCGCAAGGUUAAAACUCAAAGGAAUUGACGGGGGCCCGCACAAGCAGUGGAGCAUGUGGUUUAAUUCGACGAUACGCGAAGGACCUUACCAGGGUUUGACAUCUGUAGAAUUCGGUGGAAACAUUGAAGUGCCCGCAAGGGAGCUACAAGACAGGUGGUGCAUGGCUGUCGUCAGCUCGUGUCGUGAGAUGUUGGGUUAAGUCCCGCAACGAGCGCAACCCCUGUUCUGUGUUGCCAGCACUAAUGGUGGGAACUCACAGAAGACUGCCUGUGGAAAGCAGGAGGAAGGUGGGGAUGACGUCAAGUCAUCAUGCCCCUUACACCCUGGGCUACACACAUGCUACAAUGGCCGGUACAAAAGGUCGCGAAACCGCGAGGUGAAGCUAAUCUCAAAAAGCCGGUCUCAGUUCGGAUUGUAGUCUGCAACUCGACUACAUGAAGUUGGAAUUGCUAGUAAACGCAGAUCAGCUACGCUGCGUUGAAUACGUUCCCGGGCCUUGUACACACCGCCCGUCACACCAUGAAAGUCAGGAACACCCGAAGCCAAUGUGCUAACCCUUUUUGGGAAGUAGUUGUCGAAGGUGGGUUUGGCGAUUGGGGUGAAGUCGUAACAAGGUA